CACGUUCUUUUAUACGUCGCAUUCGAGCGAUUAGCAAAUCUUCAACCAAUUGAAGAUUGCGUCGAUUUAAAUUUGACCAAUUCCGAAGCAUCGUCAAUCGUUUCCUAAUUCAUGACAAUAAACAUGAAAUAAGCAAUACGAUGUUAGAUUUUUAAUAUUUUCUAUAAACUCAGUAUUACACAGAUUAUGUGUAGAAGGUUCCGUAAUGCAUAUCUAACCUAGAAAUUCUCAAGAAAAAGACAUUCAAACAACGACGUUACGAAAUACAAGUGCCUAAUACCUAGGCUACGCUCGAGAUAAAUGCGAAGCAUGCGAAGAGGAGGGUAGAAAUGAAGAAUGGAAGAGAGAUAGAAGGUAGUUUUAUAAAAACACAAUGUACAUGUACACUAUAAUAAAUGAAAUAGUGGAAGAAAAAA